rnacentral:rRNA from 1 species
CUUUCAGGUGGCAGUCGAUAUGCUGAUGAAAGCAUAUAGGUCAAAAAUGAGUGUUGUUCACGAAAAAAAUAGGGGUAAAAUUGGGGGAAAAUAAUUUUAGGGUGUAAUAUGGUAUAAAGUAACGAGGGACUUUCACAACGUUCAUUUGUAUAUAUACUUAUGUAUAUAUAUGUUCAUGUAUAAAUACCACGUGGUAUUUUCUAUACAUGUCGGCUGUUCAAAUUUGGCUAAGUUCUUUAAUUAGAGGUUAUGAGAGUUCGCUUAUGUGCUGCGAAAUGGGGCUGCAUACUUCUAUGGUGCUAUGGUGGUACGUUAUUGGGUUAUACUCUGGUCAGUUAAUUUACGGUUAAGGGAAAGGUGUGUACAUUGGUGAUUAUUUUUUGUAAACGUGCGGAACGCUUAUGGAAAAAUAAUGUUCAUGUGGGGUGUGGCAAAUGGUGGAGCUGUACUGCAUGCAUAUAUAUGUUAUUUUUUGGGGGAAGCCGUUAUUAUUCAUAAUUUUACAUUUUGUUGACGGAACGAAUCCGUUGCGUUAAUGAAUAGGGUACAUAAAUAUAGGUGCAUGGUUAUUCAUUUAGGUUUUCAAUUUUAAUUAUGUGCAUAUAUCUGUGUAACAAAAUUGUGGUGCACGUUAAAAAAGGACUUCUCUUAUGGUGUAUGGUAUGUAUGUGGUAUAUGGUAUGAGGUAUAUUCGGUGUGGUGGCAGUUCCAUCGCACUUAUAUUAUAUAUGUCAUGCUUACUCACUUUUGAUGCUGGCUUUUUCUAUCAACAGGUGAGCAUCAUUAAACAGGUGAUCUUCUUGUGAAAAUGUGAGGCAUAUGAGAUUAUUUCUUAAAAUGUUUUUGAUAAAUUCUUCGACUUCAUAUUUGUGACUUUUCAAAUAUUGAAAUUCCUUUAGACCUAUGUCUUUUAUGUUAUCAUAGAGCAUUCUUAAUAUGUAAAAUCUCACAUUUUUGAACUUUGCAUUCCUAUAGUUGUAUUGGUCUAGUACAAAAGGUUCUCUACUAUCCUUCUGAUGUUUGGAUGGGUGGUCUCUCAAGCCGUUUUGUUUUAAAAAAUCGUCAUAGGUGGUAGUAACUGAAAAGUUUUCAAUUGGAUUUUUAAACUGUUUAUGUGUUCUGCGUUUUCUCUUGUCCAUUUUUUCUUUUUCAUGCUGAUUUAUGUUAGAUGCUUCUGUGUUGUUUCCAUUUUUUUCUAAGCCACUUUUGGUUUUUGUAUUAGGUGUGAUAGGCGUUUUUCUUAUUAACAAGUCGGGAUCUCCUAUUCCAAAGAAUUUGAGCUUUCCAAAAUUCAUUUCUUGCACAGGAUCCUCCAAUUCGAGUUCUUCAAGUGAGGAAAAGUCUUCUUCAUUUGUGUGGUCGGUACUAUAUGGGGAGCUUUCCAGUAUAUCUUUCCAAGGAUAAUUUAUCACUUCGAAUGAAUCUUCUAAAGAUAAAUCUAAAUCUUCAUCUUCUUCUGGUUCGUUUUCCGUUUGUCUAAGUACUUCAUCGAGUUCAUAAUCGCUGAGGGAGUCGGAGCUAUCGGAUCUUUUUAAUACGGGUUUUCUUAAUGGGGAAUAGAUUUUUUUCUUCUUUUUAUGGUUAUCAAUUUCGUCGAUCAACUCAUCAAAGCUAUCCGUUUCGUUGCUCAAAUAGUUCAGCAUAACGGCGUCGUCGUUGCUAUCACUCUGGUUGGAUUGGUCAUCAUCGGAUCCGUUUUGAUAACCAUCCGUUGUUGUUCCGUCUUCGUCUAUGGUUUCAUACAGAUUUGUCAUAACUUGU